rnacentral:snoRNA from 1 species
UUUUCAGGAUGAUUGUAUUUUAAUUUCAGUUCUGCUACUGAGUAAAUCAUGCGGAUACUUAUACACCAAAGCUUACCUUGUCUGAUCC